UGAAGGAAUAUUGACCCCUUAAGGACACAUGACAUGUCAUGAUUCCCUUUUAUUCCAGAAAUCUGGUCCUUAAGGGGUUAAACAAUUAAUCUGUCAGUAUUUCAGAACUGCUUGCAAAACAUAACUGAAAGGAAGUCACAAGCUAUGACAGUUUCUAUGUAUCAGGAAAUGCCUAACCACAAUGUAUAUGUAAUAUUUUGUAAGAUUAGAUUAUUGAAUGUAACAGCAGAAACUGCUUCCUCUUUUAUGUAUCUUGUGUAACCUUUUUGUAACCUUUUUGUAACCUUUUGUAACCAAUAUUCGUGACAAAUAUUGUAUAAAUACAGAGCAUUUUGAAUACAUUGUCAGAAGAUUAUGGAAAGCAAAGAGUGUGUGUCUGGUUAAUACGCUUCCAUAAAAAUCUUCCCUGAAUAUUCAGCUGACAAUCGAGGGUUGGAGAAUAGUGACCAGAGGGACCGAGUCACCAGAGUAGCAGAUUUACCUUUCAGCUUGGUGUCAGAAAGUGGGAUUGUAGCCAAAACCAUUUUGGGUGAGUAGUAAUUCCUUGUGUCUAUCUUGACGCCCUGAAUCUAUGAUCCCCAUGGUUUUGUAAGUCUACAUCAUUUUAGGAAAGGUUAUUUAGUAUAUGUGUUUUCUGUGACUCAGUUUUACAUAAGGUCCCGUUAAAUUAGUCUAGUAAGGGAACUAGACAGAGAGAUAUAUGUAUUUCUAGUAAGUGAACUAGAGAAGGUCUAAUAAGAGAAUUAGACAGAUAAAAGGAAGUCUAUAAAGUGAUAUAGACAGAGAAUUUAGUAUAUAAGUGAAUAUACUACGAUAGUGUGCACAGAGUUUCAGGUUCACCUUGUCCACCCUCUAACUGUCAUUAGUUAAGUCUGGUUGUGAGUGUGAAUAAGUGUUUGAAAGAUUUGUCCUAGGAAUGGGAAAUUACCAUGCAAGAAUAUAAAGUAGUUAACUUUUCUUGUUCAUAUGUAUUUUAUGCUUAAAUAAGGUUUAUAAUCAUUAAGUACUGACUGUAAGGAUAUGAAAUAGUUAAACUCUUUUUGCUUUAUAUGCUAGCCCUGAAAAUAUACUCACUGAGAAUCUUGUUAAAGCACAUUUGUAGUGUCCAUGUCUUUAUUGCAAACAAUGAUUCUCCAUCAAUUGGGUGAUUGUUUAUACUGGGGACACACUUUGGUAAGUUAGUAGUGUGUCCACCCUGAGUCAGCAGUAUGGGAAAUGUAAGUUCUGGUCCUGAGUGACCAAUAUAUAUACAUAUAUAUAUGAUAGCAGUACUGUAUAUUAGACAAGAACUGACUCGCAGGUUGUACCUAAUAGACCUACUUAAAUCUUUUGUUUUAUUCUUUCUGUUGCAUAGAAGUAUAAGUUUAUUACUCUGUUUUAUUGCAAGUUAUUUCACAUGGGAUCUGUGUGCCUGGUAUGAUUGUUACUUUAAUACCAUAAGCCCACUACACUUUCUAUGAGAGUGGGAUAGUGUAAAUGUGUUACAUUGUUUGCAUGAUGAGCUCAGUAUUUUUAUAACUGAGACAAAAAGUCAUUUCAUUAGUAUUUGAAAGUUAAUUCCCCAUAUGGGAUUGAUUGUAUAGAAACACCAAUCAGCACAUCUUCCCUGCCCUGUGUGUUUGUUGCAAAGGAUCCAUACCGUUAAUAUGAUUUUUGUUUGUAAAUAAGAGCAACAUUUACAUUUUCAGCGGUCCAACACAUGCUUCAUUUUGCGCUGUAAACUAACCUUUUUAUUGCAACAGAUUCCUUUUAAAUGAUCCAGUGUAAUAACUACUGCAUAUGUUUUGUGUCUUCUAUGUCUCACAUUAUAUGUGUUCUGUUCUUUUAAAUUGUGGUAUAUAGCCUGGAUCAGAGAUUAUGGACAAAGGUUUCUACCUGUUUUACUAAGGCUCUUGGAGACUGACCGGUCUAAGGUUUGCCAUGCCUUUUAAACAUGGUAUAGAAUAAUUUUUUUUAAGUCUCUGAGAGUUCUGUAAGAUUCUGGUGAAACCAUGUCUGUGUAAUCUGGUCCAAAUGUUUGCUCAAUUUCUAUAAGAUUUAAGUUGAUGCAGUAUCAUCUCAGAUUAGUUAAUGGAAGUUUCAUACAAAUAUUUGAGUUAUGAGCGCGCUAUAUAAAUGCAUCCUUUCUCUAUAUACAAUACUAUAGUAGAUUAAAGUAAUGAAGUUAAUAAGAAUUAAAAAAAAAAAAAAGUAUACAUAAGAAUCCCUAAAAUAAAUCUAAUAUAAACUAAAAUUGGUAUACCUUACAAUAAUAUGUUCUGAGUACAGCUGUUAACUGUUUAUUCUGUGUAAAUGGUGAUUGUGAUAAUGUGUGAAGUGUGCAGCUUACCUGGAAAGUGGUUUAAUUUAUAUGUUGCUGUGUUGUUUUAAAUUAUAUGUGAAUCAGUUUGUCUCAGUUUAGUGAUACUGAUACAAAUGCCAGCCAAAUAACCCAGCAAAUAACGGUUUUAUUAGCUGUUGAAUACUAGCAUUCUGGCCAAGAAUAGUUGGAGUAGUUCUAUGAGCUCAGAGAGGCUCUGUGUUGUGGUCUGAUAUAGCUAUAUGGGAAUGGAGAUUUGGAGGUGUUAGUUUAAGACUGCUUUCAUAUUGUGUCUACCCGUGUUUCCUAGGAGGGACACAGAGUGUGUAGUUGUGUGCUCAUGAAUGUGUUUUCUGUAUUGGCAUAUCUGUUGGGUACCCGAUACGUGUAUCUACUACGUCUGUUUUGUGAGAUGUCUGUUUUGUGAGAUGACAUGUAAUAUUACAUUGAAUGCUGAGUAUGAGUUAUAUGGUUUGAAAUGAAUUGGUGUGUUAUGUGUUUUAUGUAUUUUAUUGUCCAUUGUGUAGGAGUUUAACUAGCAGAGUGAUUUGCAUAUCAUUAACACAAGCAUUUAGUGUUUUUACAAAAGGUGAAAUGCUGUCCAGCCGGCUAGAAUGAAACAAUUGUAUGCUAUCGCUCCUGGAGCAAGAAAAGCGCUUGUUACAUCCCACGUGAAAGGGGCCCCGUAAACUUCUGCUGUUCAAAUCGUGGCUCCACAUUUCCAUUUGCAAACUGAUUAAUCCUGAAAGUCAUUCUUUUACUGAUAAAAAGGAUUGAAUGGACAAGAUGUCUCUCCCUCAUAAAGGAGUUCUAAUAGGGGAGUAUUGUCCAGCUCAGAGUUAACUCUACUUUUAAAGUAUAUUGCAUUGUUUGUGUCAAAGUAAGAUUCAUCUAGUAUGCCACCUUGAUUAUGGGGUAAUAAUAAAAUGGUAUUUUAAUGGAGAUUAGACAAUUUCUGAAAUUUAUAAGUGAGGUAAUUUUAAUCUCCUAAACU